UACGAGGGGGGCAAGCGUUGUUCGGAAUUAUUGGGCGUAAAGGGCGCGUAGGCGGUGCGGUAAGUCACCUGUGAAACCUCUAGGCUCAACCUAGAGCCUGCAGGCGAAACUGCCGUGCUUGAGGGUGGGAGAGGUGCGUGGAAUUCCCGGUGUAGCGGUGAAAUGCGUAGAUAUCGGAAGGAACACCGGUGGCGAAAGCGGUCGACUGGACCUUUUCUGACGCUGAGUCGCGAAAGCCAGGGGAGCAAACGGG
rnacentral:rRNA from 1 species